AUUGAACGCUGGCGGCAGGCCUAACACAUGCAAGUCGAGCGGAUGAAGGGAGCUUGCUCCUGGAUUCAGCGGCGGACGGGUGAGUAAUGCCUAGGAAUCUGCCUGGUAGUGGGGGAUAACGUCCGGAAACGGGCGCUAAUACCGCAUACGUCCUGAGGGAGAAAGUGGGGGAUCUUCGGACCUCACGCUCUCAGAUGAGCCUAGGUCGGAUUAGCUAGUUGGUGGGGUAAAGGCCUACCAAGGCGACGAUCCGUAACUGGUCUGAGAGGAUGAUCAGUCACACUGGAACUGAGACGCGGUCCAGACUCCUACGGGAGGCAGCAGUGGGGAAUAUUGGACAAUAGGCGAAAGCCUGAUCCAGCCAUGCCGCGUGUGUGAAGAAGGUCUUCGGAUUGUAAAGCACUUUAAGUUGGGAGGAAGGGCAGUAAGUUAAUACCUUGCUGUUUUGACGUUACCAACAGAAGAAGCACCGGCUAACUUCGUG
rnacentral:rRNA from 1 species